UACGUAGGGGGCAAGCGUUGUCCGGAUUUAUUGGGCGUAAAGAGCGUGUAGGCGGUUCGGUAGGUCCGUUGUGAAAACUCGAGGCUCAACCUCGAGACGCCGAUGGAAACCAUCGAACUAGAGUCCGGAAGAGGAGAGUGGAAUUCCUAGUGUAGCGGUGAAAUGCGCAGAUAUCAGGAAGAACACCCGUGGCUAAGGCGGCUCUCUAGUACGGUACUGACGCUGAGACGCGAAAGCGUGGGGAGCGAACAGG
rnacentral:rRNA from 1 species